rnacentral:lncRNA from 1 species
CUACCUUCCAUGCUUACCAAGGUUCAAUCCCAGUCACUGUGGCUCCUGAUACAAAAACAAACAAGAGAUAAGACAUGGAGGGAGAAGAGGUGGAUAAAUUCAUGUACUUAAUCACAGGGAUUAAGAAAGACAUCUUGGGAAUGUAAUAGUUAGUCCCACACCUUCAACUAAAGGCCAAAGACUAUUAUUCCAUGGUAUUAGCAAGAAGAUUAUGAAAAUACAGAACAGAGGUUGCUUAAGACCAUAAUAUGAUGGACAAAGGUUUUUGACAACAAUGAAAACUGAAAGAUUUAUAGCUAAUGCUUUAGGUACUGGAUGCAGAGCCCCACCCUCGUUACCUGCAGAGAGAGAGCUCUGGCUGCAGGUGAUGCUCCCCAUGCCCUGCACCCAUCCCCGGCUGGAGCUGGCAGCACUGGCAGCUCCUCCCAAGGGCACUGCCAAAGUGCAAGGAUGUGCCUUGGAGACCGGGGGGAAGCCUGAAGGGCUGAGAACUGGCACACGGUUUCUGUCAUUGGAAUGUAUGAUGAAAAAAAAACAAAAAUACAGUGAAGCACUUCACUGAAACUCAGGACUUCUUCCACCCUCAAGAAUGGUUUUAAGGAAAAUUUCUGUUUUGGUUUAGUUAAAAUAGUUUUAGCUAUUUAAAUGGAACAGUCUUUGAAGGUCUUAAUCUCAUUUAUAAUAAUUUAAGACUAUUUAGACUGAAAAACCUUUGCAUAUCAUAAGAAGCCAUGCUGAUUCAUUCUGUAAAUGUCAUAGGCAGUACCAGAUAAACACUUUAUUUAUAAAAUAAGCUGUAGAAGAUGUUUUCAUGUAAUAGUGUCUUUAGUAGAUGGAGUUAUAUGAGAAAUUACAUGAUAAUUUCCAAUUCCAGUCCAGUCCUUCUUAGCACCUCCAUUUCAGCUUUAAGUGUGGGUUGUGUUUGGGUUUUCCCCCAACCCUUGCAUUUCUACUUUAUUGUUUACCUCCUAGGAGUCAG